rnacentral:snRNA from 9 species
AUACCUACCUGGCGUAGGGAUACCGUGAUCGUGCAGGCAGUUCCCAGGGUGAGGCUGCUCCAUUGUACUGCGGAGUGGUUGACCCUUGCAAAUCUUGAAAUUAUUCUUAUUUUAUAUAAAUUUC